CUUGGUCAUUUAGAGGAAGUAAAAGUCGUAACAAGGUCUCCGUUGGUGAACCAGCGGAGGGAUCAUUAAAGAGUUGCAAAACUCCCACAACCAUCGCGAACGUUACCCGUAACCGUUGCCUCGGCGGCGUCGGCCCCUCCGGGGUCGCCCGCCGGCGGCACCCGAAACUAUGUUUUUGUAGGCCUCUCUGAGUAACUUAUCAAAUAAGUCAAAACUUUUAACAACGGAUCUCUUGGUUCUGGCAUCGAUGAAGAACGCAGCGAAAUGCGAUAAGUAAUGUGAAUUGCAGAAUUCAGUGAAUCAUCGAAUCUUUGAACGCACAUUGCGCCCGCCAGUAUUCUGGCGGGCAUGCCUGUUCGAGCGUCAUUUCAACCAUCAAGCCCCCGGGCUUGCGUUGGGGCCCUGCGGCUGCCGCAGACCCCUAAAACCAGUGGCGGGCUCGCUGUCACACCGAGCGCAGUAGCAAUAUCUCGCUCUGGGCGUGGCGCGGGUGCUUGCCGUAAAACACACCACUUAACAAGGUUAACCUCGGAUCAAGUAGGAAUACCCGCUGAACUUAAGCAUAUCAAUAAGCGGAGGAAAAGAAACCAACAGGGAUUGCCCCAGUAACGGCGAGUGAAGCGGCAACAGCUCAAAUUUGAAAUCUGGCCUCGGCCCGAGUUGUAAUUUGUAGAGGAAGCUUCUGGUGCGGCACCGGCUGAGUCCCCUGGAACGGGGCGCCAUAGAGGGUGAGAGCCCCGUAUAGCCGGCUGCCUAGCCUGUGUGAAGCUCCUUCGACGAGUCGAGUUGUUUGGGAAU
rnacentral:sRNA from 1 species